UACGUAGGGUGCAAGCGUUAAUCGGAAUUACUGGGCGUAAAGCGUGCGCAGGCGGUUAUGUAAGACAGAUGUGAAAUCCCCGGGCUCAACCUGGGAAUGGCAUUUGGGACUGCAAGGCUGGAGUGCGGCAGAGGAGACUGGAAUUCCUGGUGUAGCAGUGAAAUGCGUAGAUAUCGGGAAGAACACCCGUGGCGAAGGCGGCUCUCUGGGACGGUACUGACGCUGAGACGCGAAAGCGUGGGGAGCGAACAGG
rnacentral:rRNA from 1 species